rnacentral:rRNA from 1 species
GGAGUCUGGGCCGUGUCUCAGUCCCAAUGUGGCCGUUCAACCUCUCAGUCCGGCUACCGAUCGCGGUCUUGGUGAGCCGUUACCUCACCAACUAACUAAUCGGACGCGAGUCCAUCUCCGAGCGAUAAAUUCUUUGACAUAUCUGUCAUGCGGCAAAUAUGUGUUAUGCGGUAUUAGCGUUCUUUUCAGAACGUUAUUCCCCUCUCAGAGGCAGGUUACUCACGCGUUACUCACCCGUCCGCCACUAAACUAAAAAUUCUUCAUCCCGAAGGAAUCAGUCAUAAUAGUUCCGUUCGACUUGCAUGUGUUAGGCACGCCGCCAGCGUUCGUCCUCGAGCCACUGAUCAAACUACU